rnacentral:rRNA from 1 species
GAUGAACGCUGGCGGCGUGCCUGAUACAUGCAAGUCGAGCGAACAGACGAGGAGCUUGCUCCUCUGACGUUAGCGGCGGACGGGUGAGUAACACGUGGAUAACCUACCUAUAAGACUGGGAUAACUUCGGGAAACCGGAGCUAAUACCGGAUAAUAUAUUGAACCGCAUGGUUCAGUAGUGAAAGACGGUUUUGCUGUCACUUAUAGAUGGAUCCGCGCCGCAUUAGCUAGUUGGUAAGGUAACGGCUUACCAAGGCAACGAUGCGUAGCCGACCUGAGAGGGUGAUCGGCCACACUGGAACUGAGACACGGUCCAGACUCCUACGGGAGGCAGCAGUAGGGAAUCUUCCGCAAUGGGCGAAAGCCUGACGGAGCAACGCCGCGUGAGUGAUGAAGGUCUUCGGAUCGUAAAACUCUGUUAUUAGGGAAGAACAAAUGUGUAAGUAACUAUGCACGUCUUGACGGUACCUAAUCAGAAAGCCACGGCUAACUACGUG